UACGAAGGGGGCUAGCGUUGUUCGGAUUUACUGGGCGUAAAGCGCGUGUAGGCGGACUGGUAAGUUGGGGGUGAAAUCCCGAGGCUCAACCUCGGAACUGCCUCCAAAACUGUCAGUCUGGACUCAAGUAGAGGCAAGUGGAAUUGCGAGUGUAGAGGUGAAAUUCGUAGAUAUUCGCAGGAACACCAGUGGCGAAGGCGACUUGCUGGACUUGUAGUGACGCUGAGACGCGAAAGCGUGGGGAGCAAACAGG
rnacentral:rRNA from 1 species